GUAAAUUAAAUCAUUUUGCCUAAGACUCAGGUGGUACUUGUACCUUAAUAUCCUGCCGAGGAAGUUUAAAAAACUUUUCCCGUGUGUCUUUUGGUACACGGGAUUUCUUUUGCAAAA
rnacentral:sRNA from 1 species